GUGUGUGUGUGUGUGUGUGUGUUGUGUUUGUGUGUCAGUGUAGCGAAGGGAGAGAGCAGUGACCCCACCCGGUCUUGAACACAGGUUUCCAAACUAAAGUUUACAGUUGGGAUCCUCCAGAAGAGAAGAAAGAUGCUUCACUCCUGAGUCUCCUGCUUUAUUCUCACUCAGCUGCAGCUCUCUCAUGUGUGAGGGGUUUGAUCUCAGUGCUGAUGCAAGAGCUCUGAAGCCUUCAUCUCCAAUACUGCAGUAUGACAGACUGUAGAGAGAAAAAGGAGAGAGCAGUGACCCCACCUGGUCUCAAACACGGGUCUCCAAACUAAACAUGCAACUUGUGUUUGUGUGUGUGAAGUACAUUGUCAUCUUGAGAGCCCCUUCUCUGGCAUCACUCUCAUCCUGCUCUUUACCCUCAA